GAUAAACGCUAGCGGCAGGCUUAACACAUGCAAGUCGAGGGGCAGCAUAGAUUGUAGCAAUACAAUUGGUGGCGACCGGCGCACGGGUGCGUAACGCGUAGGCAACCUACCCGUCACAGGGGGAUAAUCCGGAGAAAUCUGGUCUAAUACCCCAUAACAUAUGGAUCGGCAUCGGUUCAUGUUGAAAUUUUCGGAGGUGACGGAUGGGCAUGCGUAGCAUUAGCUUGUUGGUGAGGUAACGGCUCACCAAGGCGACGAUGCUUAGGGGGACUGAGAGGUUUUCCCCCCACACUGGUACUGAGACACGGACCAGACUCCUACGGGAGGCAGCAGUGAGGAAUAUUGGUCAAUGGGCGCAAGCCUGAACCAGCCAUGCCGCAUGCAGGAUGACGGCUCUAUGAGUUGUAAACUGCUUUUGUACGAGGGUAAAGUGGGUUACGUGUAACCUUUUGAAAGUAUCGUACGAAUAAGGAUCGGCUAACUCCGUGCCAGCAGCCGCAGUAA
rnacentral:rRNA from 1 species